rnacentral:rRNA from 1 species
GACGAAGGAUGCAAGCGUUAUCCGGAUUCAUUGGGUUUAAAGGGAGCGUAGGUGGCCUUAUAAGUCAGUGGUGAAAUCUCUGGGCUUAACCCAGAAAUUGCCAUUGAUACAGUAGGGCUUGAGUAUAGAUGCCGUUGGCGGAAUAUGACAUGUAGUGGUGAAAUACAUAGAGAUGUCAUAGAACACCGAUUGCGAAGGCAGCUAACGAAACUAUAACUGACACUGAGGCUCGAAAGUGUGGGGAUCAAACAGG